UACGUAGGGUGCAAGCGUUAAUCGGAAUUACUGGGCGUAAAGCGUGCGCAGGCGGUUUUGUAAGUCUGUCGUGAAAUCCCCGGGCUCAACCUGGGAAUUGCGAUGGAGACUGCACGGCUAGAGUGCGGCAGAGGGGGAUGGAAUUCCGCGUGUAGCAGUGAAAUGCGUAGAUAUGCGGAGGAACACCGAUGGCGAAGGCAAUCCCCUGGGCCUGGCACUGACGCUCAUGCACGAAAGCGUGGGGAGCAAACAGG
rnacentral:rRNA from 1 species